rnacentral:rRNA from 1 species
UGCCAGCCGCCGCGGUAAUACGGAGGGGGUUAGCGUUGUUCGGAAUUACUGGGCGUAAAGCGCACGUAGGCGGAUUAGAAAGUAUGGGGUGAAAUCCCGGGGCUCAACCCCGGAACUGCCUCAUAAACUCCUAGUCUAGAGAUCGAGAGAGGUGAGUGGAAUUCCAAGUGUAGAGGUGAAAUUCGUAGAUAUUAGAAAGAACACCAGUGGCGAAAGCGCUCUACUGGACCAUUACUGACACUCAGAGGCGAAAGCUAGGGUAGCAAAAGGGAUUAGAUA